rnacentral:tRNA from 1 species
GGCUAGCCCAGUGGUAGGGGGCAGUGUUUUUGGUGCUGUGGCCGUGGGUUCGAGUCCCAGAGGUGCCC